rnacentral:lncRNA from 1 species
GGGGUGGUGAAAAUUUUGGGGGGGUGUUAUGGAGAGAGAAUGGGUGAUGUUUCUCAGGGCUGCUUCAAGCGGGAUUAGGGGCGGCGUGGGAACCUAGAGUGGGAGAGAAUAAGCUGAAGGGAGGUCGUGUGGUAAGGGGUGAUAUUGUGGGGAUAAUUGGGAUGACUCAGGAUAUCUGAUUAGAGUGCCUAAGGAGAUUCAGCAGUCCUGCCAGCAAAGAUUAUUUAUUUACUUCAAGAGUUAAGGGUGGCAGUUUG